UACAGAGGGUGCGAGCGUUGUUCGGAAUUAUUGGGCGUAAAGGGCGCGUAGGCGGGCUGACAAGUCUGGGGUGAAAUGCCGCGGCUCAACCGUGGAACUGCCUCAGAUACUGUCGGCCUCGAGGAAGGUAGGGGCAUGCGGAACUGUAGGUGGAGCGGUGAAAUGCGUUGAUAUCUACAGGAACUCCGGUGGCGAAAGCGGCGUGCUGGACCUUUUCUGACGCUGAGGCGCGAAAGCUAGGGGAGCAAACGGGG
rnacentral:rRNA from 1 species